UGGGACCCCCUUUCUGAAACACGGACCAAGGAGUCUAACAUGUGCGCGAGUCAUUGGGACCGCAAAACCUAAAGGCGUAAUGAAAGUGAAGGUCGAUCUUGCGUCGACUAAGGGAGGAUGGGUUGUGUCACGAUACAGCCCCGCACUCCCGGGGCGUCUCGUACUCAUUGCGAGUUGAGGCGCACCCAGAGCGUACACGUUGGGACCCGAAAGAUGGUGAACUAUGCCUGGUCAGGACGAAGUCAGGGGAAACCCUGAUGGAGGUCCGUAGCGAUUCUGACGUGCAAAUCGAUCGUCGGAACUGGGUAUAGGGGCGAAAGACUAAUCGAACCAUCUAGUAGCUGGUUCCCUCCGAAGUUUCCCUCAGGAUAGCUGGCACUCGCGUGAGCGAGUCUCAUCUGGUAAAGCGAAUGAUUAGAGGCCUUGGGGCCGAAACGACCUCAACCUAUUCUCAAACUUUAAAUGGGUGAGAUCUCUGGCUUGCUUAAACUUUGAAGCCACGAGAUUUCGGAUCAGAGUGCCAAGUGGGCCAAUUUU
rnacentral:rRNA from 1 species